UCUACACUCGAUCAAAAAAGGACAUGCUAAUAUUUAGCAAAAGAUGGCUCCACACGAUUGUUAAAUAGACUCCUGCCUGGCAAGUCUAAAUAAUUAUUCACUUCGAAACUAACGGCAUCUUCUGUUCGUUAAUAUAAUUACCAGAUAUGCUCUUCGAUUUCCAAGUCAGAAAUUAUGAAUCACUAAAGUAAGCUACUGUUUGAUACUGUAGUUAAAGAGCCGCCCUCCUUCUGUGGCUUGUAACUAGCUAGUAACAACAACAACAAACCACACCACUACGGGAGGCGCGAGUUUUGACUUCCGGUGUUCCGACGAAUUCAGUUUCCCUGCCCUGUUCCCCCUUCCCUACGCGUACGCGAAAUCAUGACGUUUAAACUGAAAUAAAGAAAAAAAAAUCUCUCUGGCUCUUUCUUGGACCAUCGACGGAGGUUAUACCAAAAGAAAGGUCUGCUACAAGGUACCAGGGGUGCCUAAUAGAAAACUAAAAGGGCAAGUAGACUAGUUAGGCACGUCACUUAUAGAAAAGUAGAACAUGUCUUGAAAUCGAUGACGAUCGAUUACAUUCAUUCUAGGUAUUGCAAUACAUGUACAUCAUGUAAAACACAACAUAACAUAACACAACAACACCAGAGCAACGAUUUUUCAAUGGCUCUGAACACCACUAUUUGAUCAGACAUGUCAAAUGUUAACUACUGGCUUUUAGGGCACCAAAUUCGUUACUAUGACGGUCGCUAAGGUAACCAAAACAAAGAUCAAGUCUGUCUAGUGUAACUUCUUUCCUAGGUUCUCAUAUCCCAGUGUAACAUCUAGCAAGGGGAACUGCAUCAACCGGAGAGAUGUCAGCCUCCGAUGGACAACAGCAACAGCAACCAAACCUGGCACCCGCAAAUCCAGGAAACCCCGUCUUCUCGUGUAUGAUGACCCCAGGGAAAACUGAAACGCCUAGCGUGCCAUGGGCAAAACCUCAAAGCCCCCUUUACAAGACCACUUCGAAUGAUUAUGGUGUAAUUCCUCCGACGUUUGAAACAUCACCCUGCACCUACCAUCCUAUGUCUCAGAGAUUCUCAAGGGAACUUGGUAAAUGUGGCACCUACCGGGACAACUCCUUCAAUACAAGUUUGGACAGAAGCCGAGUGUGACUGCCUUCAUUUGCAGAACACUAUCUGAUAUGUUACUGUUGUAGUGAUGUUAUUAAGACGUGUGACUUUUCACCCAUGAAUAAUACUUGGUGGCAUAGUAUUAAAAAGUAAAAGCAGACCA